UGCGACGACCAUAGUGGCGGGGUAACACCCGGACCCAUUUCGAACCCGGAAGUUAAGCCCGCCGACGUUCUGCCUUGUACCAUGAUACGCGAGUUCAUGGGAAAGGUAGCCCUGUGAAGGGU
rfam:Euryarchaeota archaeon HMET1 HMET1_1, whole genome shotgun sequence.